CCAGACUCCUACGGGAGGCAGCAGUGGGGAAUAUUGCACAAUGGGGGAAACCCUGAUGCAGCGACGCCGCGUGAGUGAAGAAGUAUUUCGGUAUGUAAAGCUCUAUCAGCAGGGAAGAAAAUGACGGUACCUGACUAAGAAGCCCCGGCUAACUACGUGCCAGCAGCCGCGGUAAUACGUAGGGGGCAAGCGUUAUCCGGAUUUACUGGGUGUAAAGGGAGCGUAGACGGCAUGGCAAGUCAGAUGUGAAAGCCCGGGGCUCAACCCCGGGACUGCAUUUGAAACUGUCAGGCUGGAGUGCAGGAGAGGUAAGUGGAAUUCCUAGUGUAGCGGUGAAAUGCGUAGAUAUUAGGAGGAACACCAGUGGCGAAGGCGGCCUGCUGGACGGUGACUGACGCUGAGGCUCGAAAGCGUGGGGGGCAAACAGGAUUAGAUACCCGGGUA
rnacentral:rRNA from 1 species